rnacentral:tRNA from 1 species
GUGCCCGUGGUCUAGCUGGCAUGACGUCGCCUUGACGCGGCGAAGGUCCUGAGUUCGAAUCUCAGCGGGCCCA